UACGUAGGGUGCGAGCGUUGCCCGGAUUUAUUGGGCGUAAAGGGCGCGUAGGCGGCCUGGCGCGUCGGCUGUGAAAUCUCCCGGCUCAACUGGGGAGGGUCACGCGAUACUGCUCGACUUGAAGGCAGGAGAGGGAAGUGGAAUUCCCGGUGUAGUGGUGAAAUGCGUAGAUAUCGGGAGGAACACCAGUGGCGAAGGCGGCGCUCUGGGCCGGUACUGACACUGAGGAGCGAAAGCGUGGGUAGCAAACAGG
rnacentral:rRNA from 1 species